rnacentral:misc_RNA from 1 species
AUUUAUCAGAGAAAACAGCAUAAAAUACAAUAGCACGAACAAUUUGGAGUACUGUCUUGCAAGUGGCUAUUUUAGCUAUUCCACCAAGAGGUGGAUAAAUGUUCGUCCAUUUUGGAAGCUGACUGGUCAAUGCCGAUACUUUACAGAACUGCAUAUAUCUCUCUUCAGCAACUUGCAACUCCUUUGAGUUCCAACGAGGAUGAUAUAAAUCUAGCUCCUUCCAAUAGGAUGUCCGCAGUUUAUAAAUACCCUGAUUGAUGCCAGAGGGAUUGGAAUACACUGCUACCCUAUCUAGAACUUCCUGAAGUCUAUCGAUCUUGGACAAGUCACGGGGCAGAGACUUCACCAACUGGCUACGAGUGGCAUCACCAGUUGACAGUUUAUAUACCAAUUCCCUUUGCAAACACUCACUGGGGGAUAACCCAGAAAACCGCCGUUCCUUCACUAUUUGUAUGAUCAGUGUAAG